CAGCCGCCGCGGGAAUACGAGGGGGGCAAGCGUUGUUCGGAAUUAUUGGGCGUAAAGGGUGCGUAGGCGGUUUGGCAAGUUUGGUGUGAAAUCUUCGGGCUCAACUCGAAGUCUGCAUCGAAAACUGCCGGGCUUGAGUAUGGGAGAGGUGAGUGGAAUUUCCGGUGUAGCGGUGAAAUGCGUAGAUAUCGGAAGGAACACCUGUGGCGAAAGCGGCUCACUGGACCAUAACUGACGCUGAUGCACGAAAGCUAGGGGAGCAAACAGGAUUAGAUACCCCUGUAGUCCCUGUCUCUUAUAC
rnacentral:rRNA from 1 species